rnacentral:rRNA from 1 species
GACGAACGCUGGCGGCGUGCUUAACACAUGCAAGUCGAACGGAAAGGCCCCCUUUUGGGGUGCUGCUGGGGGGACGGGGGGGUUAACAACACGUUAACUUCCCCUUCAUUUGGGUAUAACUCCUGGAAAAAGGGGUUAAUACCGCAUGGGAGCUCCUCCUGCUGGGUGGGGGUUGUAGGGUUGCGGCGGUUGGGGAUGGACUCGCGGCUUUUCAGCUGGUUGGUGGGGUAGUGGCUCACCAAGGCUUUGACGGGUAGCCGGCCUGAGAGGGUGACCGGCCACAUUGGGACUGAGAUACGGCCCAGACUCCUACGGGAGGCAGCAGUGGGGAAUAUUGCACAAUGGGCGGAAGCCUGAUGCAGCAACGCCGCGUGCGGGAUGACGGCCUUCGGGUUGUAAACCGCUUUCGCCUGUGACGAAGCGUGAGUGACGGUAAUGGGUAAAGAAGCACCGGCUAACUACGUG